AGGACGAACGCUGGCGGCGUGCUUAACACAUGCAAGUCGAACGAGGUCCAAGGUGUAGCAAUACACUGGAAGACCUAGUGGCGAACGGGUGCGUAACACGUGAGGAACUUGUCCCGGUCUCUGGGAUAACAGUUGGAAACGACUGCUAAUACCGGGUGACGUCGGAGCGUCGCAUGGCGCGCUGACGAAAGGGUUACUGGAUCGGGAGAGCCUCGCGGCCUAUCAGCUUGUUGGUGGGGUAAUGGCCCACCAAGGCAUCGACGGGUAGCUGGUCUGAGAGGAUGAUCAGCCACACUGGGACUGAGACACGGCCCAGACUCCUACGGGAGGCAGCAGUGGGGAAUCGUUGCGCAAUGGGCGAAAGCCUGACGCAGCAACGCCGCGUGCGGAAGAAGGCCCUCGGUGUAAACCGCUUUCAGAAGGAACGAAAAUGAACGGUACUUUCGAGAAGAAGGUGCGCAACUACGUGCCAGCAGCCGC
rnacentral:rRNA from 1 species